CCUCUGGGCAAAGGUCCCGGGUCAGCUGCUCAGCCUGCGGGACUCAAAUGUGGAAGCACUCUUCGAACAUCGGGAUGGAAAGUGCUGCGACAUUUGAGUGUCGCCGGUGGGCACCCUCCACGGAACCCAAGCUGUUCUAGA
ensembl:miRNA